rnacentral:rRNA from 1 species
UACGAAGGAGGCUAGCGUUGCUCGGAAUCACUGGGCGUAAAGCGCACGUAGGCGGCUUGCUAAGUCAGGGGUGAAAUCCUGGAGCUCAACUCCAGAACUGCCUUUGAUACUGGCGACCUUGAGUCCGGGAGAGGUGAGUGGAACUGCGAGUGUAGAGGUGAAAUUCGUAGAUAUUCGCAAGAACACCAGUGGCGAAGGCGGCUCACUGGCCCGGUACUGACGCUGAGGUGCGAAAGCGUGGGGAGCAAACAGG